UUAAGAAUAUUCGGCAAUGGGGGAAACCCUGACCGAGCAAUGCCGCGUGUGAGAUGAAGGUCCUUUGGAUCGUAAAUCACUUUUAUUUGGGAAGAAUUGUAAGUAUAGGAAAUGAUACUUACUUGACGGUACCAUUUGAAUAAGCUUCGGCUAACUACGUGCCAGCAGCCGCGGUAAUACGUAGGAGGCAAACGUUAUCCGGAUUUACUGGGCGUAAAGCGCGUGUAGGUGGUACUGUAAGUAGGGCGUGAAAGCUCCUGGCUCAACUGGGAGAGGCCGUUCUAAACUACAGAACUAGAGGAUGGUAGAGGGAGGUGGAAUUCCAGGUGUAGCGGUGGAAUGCGCAGAUAUCUGGAGGAACACCGGUGGCGAAGGCGGCCUCCUGGACCAUUCCUGACACUCAGACGCGGAAGCUAGGGUAGCAAACG
rnacentral:rRNA from 1 species